CCUACGGGAGGCAGCAGUGGGGAAUAUUGGACAAUGGGGGGAACCCUGAUCCAGCGACGCCGCGUGAGUGAAGAAGUAUUUCGGUAUGUAAAGCUCUAUCAGCAGGGAAGAAAAUGACGGUACCUGACUAAGAAGCCCCGGCUAACUACGUGCCAGCAGCCGCGGUAAUACGUAGGGGGCAAGCGUUAUCCGGAUUUACUGGGGGUAAAGGGAGCGUAGACGGUGCAGCAAGUCUGAUGUGAAAGGUCGGGGCCCAACCGCGGGACUGCAUUGGAAACUGUUGAACUGGAGUACAGUAGAGGUAGGCGGAAUUCGUGGUGUAGCGGUGAAAUGCUUAGAUAUUAGGAAGAACCCCAGUGGAGAAGGCAGCUUACUAGACUGUGACUGACAUUGAGGCUCGAAAGCGUGGGGAGCAAACAGGAUUAGAUACCCCUGUAGUC
rnacentral:rRNA from 1 species